GGGCGCAUGGUUUAGUGGUAUAAUUCCUCUUUAGCAUAGAGGCGGUCCCUGGUUCGAUUCCUGGUGUGUCCA